AUCACAGCACUUCAGUGUGUUUCAGUGAGUGCUGCAGAGUUUGAGGGGAAGCUGAGCAGAACCCCGAUGCAGGAAGGCAGUUUUUCCCAAAGACUAAAAGAGGAUUUAAAAUAAAUAAAUAGAAGCGUCUGGAGAUCCUGCUCCGUCGCCCCAGUGUUCAGACUACCUGUUCAGGACAAUGCUGUUGUACAGUAGUCUGCACAUUGGUUAGACUGGGCAAGGGAAAGCAACGACAUGGACUUUGGGGGACGCCAGUUGCUAUUGCCAAGGAGAAGACCAUUAUUGCUCCUUUCAGAUCUCAUAUACAGUAUUUUUCUUCACAGGUUUUACACACUAGGGAAUAAGAAACGCUAAGGGACACUGUGAGAAAGGAGGACUUCAGAAUAAUGCGGGGAAGACAUUCUGGUAAGGCCUACUUUGGAAGAACACCUGGCCUAUGACCUGGCGAACCUAGGUGACUUCCCCCUCCCCCAUUCUUCCAAUCAUCACCGCAAGACAGAUGGAGCUCUGGUGGUUUACUAAAACGUAUGCAAGAAAAAGAGAGAAUAUUCUUUAUUGGGACAUUCUACAUAUGGCUGCUUCCAUCUAUACAGCAUUAUUUGGUUUUGUUUUCAAGUAUUUAAGUUUACGGUACUUAUCUAUUACUCGAAAAUAUGUACUGUAUAAACAUAUCCUUUAUCUUGAACUUCAGUAUUUCUGUGUUUCCAAGAAGAGUAAAAACAUCUGGUUAAAUCACUACAUGCUGUGCAAGUACAGUAUCUGGGAAAACUCGUGUAUGAACUGGAUUUAAAAUAAACCAUGGUUUAAAUCAUUGUUCUUUUUAAAAUGUUAAAUGUGACCAUUCUGUUGAAAUCCUACCCCAUAUGCAUGUCAGCAUAAUUAUAACUAAUGUAAAAUGCAUAUUUUCUGAAUAAAGUCAAACAUUGUACUUGUUCCACAGCUCCCUAAUGUUUUAAAGUUUAAUUCUGUUAUGUGUGUUUCCCCCCAACAAAGUCCCCAAAUCUGGAAUGGUACAGACUGAUUCUUAUCAGCCGGUGAGGAAAGGACCCCUGAUGGAUCCAAGGGACUGGCUGGACGGAGUUGUCAUGUGUCUGCCUGUCUACACUUGCUGUGCAGAACAUCCUCUCACCUGUACAGCAGGCACAGACAGGCAGUCACAUGACAACCCAGCCUGAAUGACAACCAGCCAAUGAGAGAGCAGCUCUGACAGACUAUAGCAUCUUCACCAAGAGCUACAGGAAAGAGUCACUUUUGGAUUUAAGUCUGCUGGUUCAAUAAUUAAUUCAUGUGUACUUUUUAUUAUUAACUUGGUCAGCAUAUUGAAAUCCACCCAGAGUAAAAUGAACGGUGCCUAUCAAAUACAAUAAAACCCACUGCUGAAAUUUU